rnacentral:rRNA from 1 species
UACGUAGGGUGCAAGCGUUAAUCGGAAUUACUGGGCGUAAAGCGUGCGCAGGCGGUUUUGUAAGUUUGUCGUGAAAUCCCCGGGCUCAACCUGGGAAUGGCGAUGAAGACUGCAAGGCUAGAAUCUGGCAGAGGGGGGUAGAAUUCCACGUGUAGCAGUGAAAUGCGUAGAGAUGUGGAGGAAUACCGAUGGCGAAGGCAGCCCCCUGGGUCAAGAUUGACGCUCAUGCACGAAAGCGUGGGGAGCAAACAGG